AUUGAACGCUGGCGGCAGGCCUAACACAUGCAAGUCGAGCGGAUGAAGGGAGCUUGCUCCUGGAUUCAGCGGCGGACGGGUGAGUAAUGCCUAGGAAUCUGCCUGGUAGUGGGGGAUAACGUCCGGAAACGGGCGCUAAUACCGCAUACGUCCUGAGGGAGAAAGUGGGGGAUCUUCGGACCUCACGCUAUCAGAUGAGCCUAGGUCGGAUUAGCUAGUUGGUGGGGUAAAGGCCUACCAAGGCGACGAUCCGUAACUGGUCUGAGAGGAUGAUCAGUCACACUGGAACUGAGACACGGUCCAGACUCCUACGGGAGGCAGCAGUGGGGAAUAUUGGACAAUGGGCGAAAGCCUGAUCCAGCCAUGCCGCGUGUGUGAAGAAGGUCUUCGGAUUGUAAAGCACUUUAAGUUGGGAGGAAGGGCAGUAAGUUAAUACCUUGCUGUGUUGACGGUACCAACAGAAUAAGCACCGGCUAACUUCGUG
rnacentral:rRNA from 1 species